rnacentral:lncRNA from 1 species
CAAUUUUGUCAAAUCACAUUCUUUCAUAAAAUUUAAUAUUAUAAUUUUGGUAUUAGCAUUUGUUUUCAAUAUUAAUAUUUAUUUUAUUUAGAAAAUAAAUUAAAAACAUAUGUUUUUAAUUUUAUUUACUUAUUUUAUAUUAUUAUUGAUUUAUUUUAAUUUAUUUUUUUAUGUUUAUUUUUUUAUAUUUGUAUAUAAAUG